CCCUUAGAUGUCCUGGGCCGCACGCGCGUUACACUGAUGCAUUCAACGAGCUUAUAACCUUGGCCGAGAGGCCUGGGCAAUCUUGUUAACGUGCAUCGUGAUAGGGAUAGAUUAUUGAAAUUAUUAAUCUUGAACGAGGAAUUCCUAGUAAACGCAGAUCAUCAAUCUGCAUUGAUUACGUCCCUGCCCUUUGUACACACCGCCCGUCGCACCUACCGAUUGGAUGGUCCGGUGAAGCCUCGGGAUUGUGGUUCUUGCCGCUUUAUUGUGGCGUGACCGCGAGAACUUGUCUAAGCCUUAUCAUCUAGAGGAAGGUGAAGUCGUAACA
rnacentral:rRNA from 1 species